rnacentral:rRNA from 1 species
GUCUUCGAGUCGUUGAUUUCACACUGCCGAGAAAAGCCUCUAGAUAGAAAAUAGGUGCCCGUACCGCAAACCGACACAGGUAGUCAAGAUGAGAAUUCUAAGGUGAGCGAGCGAACUCUCGUUAAGGAACUCGGCAAAAUGACCCCGUAACUUCGGGAGAAGGGGUGCUCUUUAGGGUUAACGCCCAGAAGAGCCGCAGUGAAUAGGCCCAAGCGACUGUUUAUCAAAAACACAGGUCUCUGCUAAACCGUAAGGUGAUGUAUAGGGGCUGACGCCUGCCCGGUGCUGGAAGGUUAAGAGGAGUGGUUAGCUUCUGCGAAGCUACGAAUCGAAGCCCCAGUAAACGGCGGCCGUAACUAUAACGGUCCUAAGGUAGCGAAAUUCCUUGUCGGGUAAGUUCCGACCCGCACGAAAGGCGUAACGAUUUGGGCACUGUCUCAACGAGAGACUCGGUGAAAUCAUAGUACCUGUGAAGAUGCAGGUUACCCGCGACAGGACGGAAAGACCCCGUGGAGCUUUACUGUAGCCUGAUAUUGAAAUUCGGCACAGCUUGUACAGGAUAGGUAGGAGCCUUUGAAACGUGAGCGCUAGCUUACGUGGAGGCGCUGGUGGGAUACUACCCUAGCUGUGUUGGCUUUCUAACCCGCACCACUUAUCGUGGUGGGAGACAGUGUCAGGCGGGCAGUUUGACUGGGGCGGUCGCCUCCUAAAAGGUAACGGAGGCGCUCAAAGGUUCCCUCAGAAUGGUUGGAAAUCAUUCAUAGAGUGUAAAGGCAUAAGGGAGCUUGACUGCGAGACCUACAAGUCGAGCAGGGUCGAAAGACGGACUUAGUGAUCCGGUGGUUCCGCAUGGAAGGGCCAUCGCUCAACGGAUAAAAGCUACCCCGGGGAUAACAGGCUUAUCUCCCCCAAGAGUUCACAUCGACGGGGAGGUUUGGCACCUCGAUGUCGGCUCAUCGCAUCCUGGGGCUGUAGUCGGUCCCAAGGGUUGGGCUGUUCGCCCAUUAAAGCGGUACGCGAGCUGGGUUCAGAACGUCGUGAGACAGUUCGGUCCCUAUCCGUCGUGGGCGUAGGAAAUUUGAGAGGAGCUGUCCUUAGUACGAGAGGACCGGGAUGGACAUACCUCUGGUGUACCAGUUGUCGUGCCAACGGCAUAGCUGGGUAGCUAUGUGUGGACGGGAUAAGUGCUGAAAGCAUCUAAGCAUGAAGCCCCCCUCAAGAUGAGAUUUCCCAACUUCGGUUAUAAGAUCCCUCAAAGAUGAUGAGGUUAAUAGGUUCGAGGUGGAAGCAUGGCGACAUGUGGAGCUGACGAAUACUAAUCGAUCGAAGACUUAAUCAA